CGGUCACCUCUGCCGAAUCCGUGCUGCCCUCCCGGCAGUUCGGAACCGGGGACCCACACGCACAACCGGGGUGAAUCGGUCCGUACCCUCGCACAACGGACCGUAGGACAGCCUUCCGUUCCGUCCGAACCCGACAGCUAACCCGGUAGGCGGUCCACGGAAGGAGAU
rnacentral:sRNA from 4 species